AUUGAACGCUGGCGGAAUGCUUUACACAUGCAAGUCGAGCGGCAGCGCGGGGCAACCUGGCGGCGAGCGGCGAACGGGUGAGUAAUACAUCGGAACGUGCCCAGACGUGGGGGAUAACUACUCGAAAGAGUGGCUAAUACCGCAUACGAUCUAAGGAUGAAAGCGGGGGAUCGCAAAGACCUCGCGCGUUUGGAGCGGCCGAUGGCAGAUUAGGUAGUUGGUGGGGUAAAGGCUUACCAAGCCCGCGAUCUGUAGCUGGUCUGAGAGGAUGAUCAGCCACACUGGGACUGAGACACGGCCCAGACUCCUACGGGAGGCAGCAGUGGGGAAUUUUGGACAAUGGGCGAAAGCCUGAUCCAGCCAUUCCGCGUGCAGGAUGAAGGCCCUCGGGUUGUAAACUGCUUUUAUACAGAACGAAAAAGCUCUUUCUAAAUACAGAGAGUCCAUGACGGUACUGUAAGAAUAAGCACCGGCUAACUACGUGCCAGCAGCCGCGGUAA
rnacentral:rRNA from 1 species